UUUUUUUUUAAUUAGAGCUACACACGUGUUAGUUCUAUCUGCCUUUCACCAUCUCUGUAAGCCAAUCAAGUUAAGAUCAGUGUCAUUCUUCUUCGCCUCCUAUCUCUCGAUUACAUUACUAUGGUUUCACAUUUUACUUUAUCCUCCCCAAAUCGAGUCUUCUCCCUUCUUCUACUUGCUGCUACCUCCACCGCUUCAGGCGAUGUACCGACAACCAACCACCGGAGUUCGCGGUUUACCCUCUGCUCCACUACCGUCUCUACCAGAAAAAAGAAUGACACCCCGGAUAUACCAUCACUUCCUCACCUUUUUAUCUCAUUAAUUUCCACAUUAAAUUUGUCUCCUCUGCUAACAGAAGCCGCACGUUCUUCUCAACCUAGCGGCUUCUGAUUGGAAAUCAAGAAGGAAUUCAGGUUGCCCGGUGCCCCUUCUCCGAUGAAGAAGCCAUCGUCACUGUUCGUCGCGAGAAUCAACGAAGAUUCGGUCGUUGGGUUUGCAAAUUCUAGGGUUUAUCAUGGUUCUGUUGGUUGAUUAGAUUUUGAUGACCCCAAGUCCUAAUUUAUGAUCAAAGAUGAGGUUGAUAAAUGGAAAAAUGAAGGUACGAAUCGCAGGGGUUCUCGAUUCCUCUAUGACGACCACCGGAGAGCGCCGCCUCGAUUUUUGAUAGCCUAAUAUUAGGUACGCAGACGACAGAGGAUUUUUUGUUGUUCGACAUAAUAUCUUACCCAGGUUUUUGGUUGCUAAAACAUGGACUGAGGAAAGGGGAAAAAACAAACUAGAUAGGGAGAUCAUUAACAAAGGACUAUUAGUUACUUCUCCAGCGAUUCGCCUUCAUUAAUCCUAGCUUUCUCUCUAUACUAUCAAAUGAAUCUUAUCGACAACAUCCCCAAUGGAAGUAUUAUGAUGUAUCUAUAGCCGCCUGCUAUUUUCAUAUUCCCAGCUUCAAAAUUGGUUUCCAGGUUGGUGAACACCGUUUUGAACAAAAUUUGUCAAUAUAACCUCAAAACAAUUUCAUUUUAGAGGUGUCACGCCUGAUCAUGCCAAUGCAUUAUCGUCAUUAUCAAAGGCUGUAGACAAAGGUGCACCAAGGUCUAUGGAGCUUCUUGGUGGUGGUUCUUUGGAGCAGGGUGCUGACGACGCGGUUUUCAAAAAAAUUAGAGGUUUUUUCAAGGAGUUGCCUCCGAUGUUAUCGGUGUUUGACGAGAUGAUCAAGCAGGAGCAACUAUGUGUUUUCAUGAUUAUUAGAGAAAUUUGAAGAAACAGAAGAAGCAGAGUAGGUGUUUGAUAAAAUAUCUAUUUGAAAUUGUGUUUGAAAUCAAUAAAUGGUAAGUAUUCUUAUCAAUUUCAGCCAUGUUUCUCUACCAACUAAAAUUUUUCAUCCAUUUGCAAAUUUAUCUUUCAAAGUUUACAUUCUAUUAUCAUAACAUCUAUGUUUCUUUGAAGACUAAUAUGCCCUGAAGAAGGUAAUAUGCAUUCCUUAUUCAUUCCAUCAUGUAAUGAAAUAAAAAUUUACAAUAUAACCUAAUUUUAUUUAUGUAGUUUGUUGACAUAAAUCUUUUCAAAACUAAAAAUAAGUCUCCAAUCUUUAAAUUAACAAAAUAACCUUUUUAAGUUCUAACAAUCUUAAAUAUUUGUAGCUUAUAAGUAUGACAAGGGUAGUCAUGACAAAGGCCCGUGGACAUAUUUUAGCAGCCAUCGAUUGGCUCAAUAAAUAUCGUGAGAUAUUCAUGGCAGGUCAUGAUGCCUGGAGAGAACUUGCUGAGAUAUAUGUUUCAUUGCAACUGUACAAACAAGCAGGUUUCUGUUAUGAGGAGUUGAUCUUAUCUCUACCGAUCAUUCCUAUACAUCAUCUUGCUUAUGUUGAUGAUUUGCGAGGAAAAAAGGUCAAAUAAUAUAAAUAAUAUAAUUAACAGGUGGAAAAAACAUCAGAGCGCUUUUGGUCUUUACUUGUUGGCCAUGAGUACAUGAGUGGCGGAACCGAAAGUUACUGUUAUGGACACAUUCCAGAUUGUGGUGGGUCGGCUAAAAGGGGAUACUCAAUUAGGCAUGAUUAUAGAAUUUCUGCACAAAAACUACAUGAUGCAACUUAUCGGGGAAUUGUUGGUGUAAGCUUUGAUGUUGUGCAAUACGGGUAAUGUAUUAUAACCUGGAUUGCCUUUUGUUGGAAUUGGAGGGAUCUUAUUUGGUUAUCAUACUGGGGACAAGAAGCAGAGAAGCAUACGCGGUUGCAUGUAAAUAGAUCUGGAAAUGGGACAGGUUUGGAGCGAAUCGACCUUAAUCCAAACCCUUUUAACAAAUUCCAAAACCCGCUCCGUAACCCGCAGGGUUUUGUAUAAUCAAACCCAUACCUUUAUCCACCGAAUCAGCAGAUAUUCAAACCCACCCCGUAACCCGUAGGUUUUUUGAAUAAUCAAACGCAUUUUACUUAAAUCAUAAAAUCACAUUUGUUAAAUAGAACAAAUGUUGAUUUAGAAAACACAUUAUGUACUCGAAGAAUAUCGAUUGGAAUUAAAAUCAUUAUUGUAGUUACUUCCGAUUGGUUUUUGACCCUCGAUUGCAUUGAUAGAGAUUAACAAUUACAAAAUUUCUUCCAAUUGAUAAAUAAAUUUAUUGAUUUAUAAAUGAAAUUGGUGAUUAUAUGAUGAAAUAUAAAUGAAAUGACAUCAUGAUUCUUGGAAGAAGACUGGCAGUCUAGAAGUUGAA